GGGAGAGACAGAGAAGGAGAGGCAGGAGAGAGACAGAGAAGGAGAGGCAGGAGAGAGACAGAGAAGGAGAGGCAGGGAGAGAGACAGAGAAGGAGAGGCAGGAGAGAGACAGAGAAGGAGAGGCAGGGAGAGAGACAGAGAAGGAGAGGCAGGGAGAGAGACAGAGAAGGAGAGGCAGGAGAGAGACAGAGAAGGAGAGGCAGGGAGAGAGACAGAGAAGGAGAGGCAGGAGAGAGACAGAGAGGAGAGGCAGGAGAGAGACAGAGAAGGAGAGGCAGGAGAGAGACAGAGAAGGAGAGGCAGGGAGAGACACAGAGGGAGAGAAGCAGGAGAGAGACCGAGAAGGAGAGGCAGGAGAGAGACAGAGAUGGGGGUAGGAAACAGUAGGAGACAGAAAGAAGAUGAGCGUAGACAGAGAGUGGGCUGGAGAGAAGGCAAGAGGUAGCCAGUGUGAGACAGACAGCCAAACAGGGAGAAAGAGACAGAGACCAGGGAGACACAGAGAUGGGAGGCAGAGGCAGAGAUGUGUGGAGACAGUGACAGAUUUAAGUGUGGUGCAGACAGGAGUGGCCGAGGUAGAAGAAACAGGGCCAGAGCUAUGGGCCGCAGCCAUGUGGGGCUGUAAGAAGUGUAGCUUCCUUUUUUUUCUUUCUGCCUCUCUUCUAGCUUGCCUUCCUCAACAGUGGGCUCCCUCCGGACAUGUUGUGUUUCCUUACUGUUUCUCUGAAGCUUUCCUUCUGGACAAGUGGCUGCUUGUCAACCAUUGUCUGACCUCCACACCAGGUUCAAUGGCACACUGUUUCUUAAUCUCCCCCUCUGACCUCCUCCAGGCAGCUGCUCAGGGCUCACAACUUUCCUGCCCUGAGAUUUUUCUUUUAAACUCUGAUAAAAUUGUCAUU
rnacentral:lncRNA from 1 species